CGUAGGCAGCAAGCGUUGUUCGGAGUUACUGGGCGUAAAGAGUACGUAGGCGGUUUGCUAAGUCUGGUGUGAAAUCUCCUGGCUUAACUGGGAGGGUGCGCUAGAUACUGGCAGGCUUGAGUAUGGGAGAGGAGAGCGGAAUUCCUGGUGUAGCGGUGAAAUGCGUAGAUAUCAGGAGGAACGCCGGUGGUGUAGACGGCUCUCUGGACCAUUACUGACGCUGAGGUACGAAAGCGUGGGUAGCAAACAGGAUUAGAUACCCUGGUAGUCCACGCCCUAAACGAUGCGGACUUGGUGUAGGCAGUUCAGUCUGUCUGUGCCGGAGCUAACGCGUUAAGUCCGCCGCCUGGGGAGUACGGUCGCAAGGCUG
rnacentral:rRNA from 1 species